AAUUCGUGGCGCCUUCGUGUCCGAGUUGUAAUUUGAAGAUUGUAACCUUGGGGUUGGCUCUUGUCUAUGUUUCUUGGAACAGGACGUCACAGAGGGUGAGAAUCCCGUGCGAUGAGAUGCCCAAUUCUAUGUAAGGUGCUUUCGAAGAGUCGAGUUGUUUGGGAGCAGCUCUAAGUGGGUGGUAAAUUCCAUCUAAAGCUAAAUAUUGGCGAGAGACCGAUAGCGAACAAGUACAGUGAUGGAAGAUGAAAAGAACUUUGAAAAGAGAGUGAAAAAGUACGUAAAGGGAAGGCUUUUGAGAUCAGACUCGAUAUUUUGUGAGCCUUGCCUUCGUGGCGGGGUGACCCGCAGCUUAUCGGGCCAGCAUCGGUUUGGGCGGUAGGAUAAUGGCGUAGGAAUGUGACUUUACUUCGGUGAAGUGUUAUAGCCUGCGUUGAUGCUGCCUGCCUAGACCGAGGACUGCGAUUUUAUCAAGGAUGCUGGCAUAAUGAUCCCAA
rnacentral:rRNA from 1 species